rnacentral:rRNA from 1 species
UACGGAGGGUGCAAGCGUUAUCCGGAUUCACUGGGUUUAAAGGGUGCGUAGGAGGGCAGGUAAGUCAGUGGUGAAAUCUUCGAGCUUAACUCGGAAACUGCCGUUGAUACUAUCUGUCUUGAAUACCGUGGAGGUGAGCGGAAUAUGUCAUGUAGUGGUGAAAUGCUUAGAUAUGACAUAGAACACCAAUUGCGAAGGCAGCUCGCUACACGAAUAUUGACUCUGAGGCACGAAAGCGUGGGGAUCAAACAGG